AGAGUUUGAUCAUGGCUCAGGAUGAACGCUAGCUACAGGCUUAACACAUGCAAGUCGAGGGGAAACGACAUCGAAAGCUUGCUUUUGAGUGGGCGUCGACCGGCGCGACGGGUGAGUAACGCGUAUCCAACCUGCCCACCACUUGGGGAUAACCUUGCGAAAGUAAGACUAAUACCCAAUGAUAUCUCUAGAAGACAUCUGAAAGAGAUUAAAGAUUUAUCGGUGAUGGAUGGGGAUGCGUCUGAUUAGCUCGUUGGCGGGGUAACGGCCCACCAAGGCAACGAUCAGUAGGGGUUCUGAGAGGAAGGUCCCCCACAUUGGAACUGAGACACGGUCCAAACUCCUACGGGAGGCAGCA
rnacentral:rRNA from 1 species